AUGGGCGAAAGCCUGAUGCAGCGACGCCGCGUGAGGGAUGACGGCCUUCGGGUUGUAAACCUCUUUCAGUAGGGAAGAAGCGUAAGUGACGGUACCUGCAGAAGAAGCGCCGGCUAACUACGUGCCAGCAGCCGCGGUAAUACGUAGGGCGCAAGCGUUAUCCGGAUUUAUUGGGCGUAAAGAGCUCGUAGGCGGUUUGUCGCGUCUGCCGUGAAAGACCAGGGCUCAACCCUGGUUCUGCGGUGGGUACGGGCAGACUAGAGUGAUGUAGGGGAGACUGGAAUUCCUGGUGUAGCGGUGAAAUGCGCAGAUAUCAGGAGGAACACCGAUGGCGAAGGCAGGUCUCUGGGCAUUUACUGACGCUGAGGAGCGAAAGCAUGGGGAGCGAACAGGAUUAGAUACCCUGGUAGUCCAUGCCGUAAACGUCGGGCACUAGGUGUGGGGGACAUUCCACGUCUUCCGCGCCGUAGCUAACGCAUNAAGUGCCCCGCCUGGGGAGUACGGCCGCAAGGCUAAAACUCAAAGGAAUNGACGGNGGCCCGCACAAGCGGCGGAGCAUGCGGAU
rnacentral:rRNA from 1 species